GCUGGGCAAGGUGGCUCAUGCCUGUAAUCCCGGCACUUUGGGAGGCUGAGGCAGGAAAAUCACUAGAGGCCAGGAGUUCAAGACCAGCAUGGGCAACAUAAAGAGAUCCUGGUUCUACUAUAUAUAUAUAUAAAUUAGCCAGGUGUGGUACAUCUAGCUACUCUGGGAGGCUGAGGCAGAAGAACUGAACCUGGGAGUUCAAGAUUGCAGUGAACUAUGAUUAUACCACUGCACUCUUGCCUGGGCAACAGAGUGAGACUCUGUCUCA
rnacentral:sRNA from 1 species